CGAGCACGCGCGUGUGGCAUAUCAAUAAGCGGAGGAAAAGAAACUAACAAGGAUUCCCUUAGUAACGGCGAGUGAAGCGGGAAGAGCUCAAAUUUGAAAUCUUCAAGGUUCUACCUUGACGAAUUGUAGUUUAUAGAAGUGUUUUCUGUUAGUAGAGUGGCAAAAGUUCUUUGGAAUAGGACAUCAUAGAGGGUGAGAAUCCCGUAUUUGGUCAUUCUUUCUAGCUUUGUGAUACACUUUCAACGAGUCGGAUUGUUUGGGAAUGCAGUCCAAAAUGGGUGGUAAAUUUCAUCUAAAGCUAAAUAUUGGCGAGAGACCGAUAGCGAACAAGUACCGUGAGGGAAAGAUGAAAAGAACUUUGAAAAGAGAGUUAAACAGUACGUGAAAUUGUCAAAAGGGAAGCGUUUGACACCAGUGUUGUUUUUCCGAAAAUCAAUUAUGAAUGGCUUGAUUUUAAGUUUCAUGACCUUAAAAGCUUGUUUCUUAUUUUUCAUGUCUUUCGUAAUGCACUUUUCGGUUAACAAGUCAACAUCAAUUUCUUUUGUUGUAAAAGGGUAUGAGGAAGGUGGCUUUCUUUUCGGAGAAAGUGUUUAUAGCCUUGUACCUCUGCAAUCGGAGAGAUUGAGGUCUGCAGCGUAGAUCCUUCGGGGUUAGAUACAUUUGUGCUAAGUUAUAGCUUUUCAUAGACAACUUGUUGACUAUGUUUAGUCUUGUAGCUUACUCGCUUAUGCUAUUUUACCUACGCUUAGGAUGUUGAUGUGAUACUGCGAGCA
rnacentral:rRNA from 1 species